ACACUCCUACUGUGUUAUAUGGAACAAAAUACCUAUUGGUAUUUUUAUUCCCAGUCACGCUCACAAUCACACAGCUUAAAAUGAUGUUAACAGCCUUUCAACGGCCUUCUGGCACAAGGCUCCGUACACCUCUUCCAUGGAAUUUCGAGCAGGGACUCUGUCGUCCCUCACGGAUUUUUUUUGCACUUAUAUGGUACCUGUUAAUGUCUAGAAUUUACAAGCAAUUUUUGCUGUUACACGCAAUAAUCCUCAGUCACUCGCCGUUUUUCUUCCGGCACGAGGCUCUGUACACCUCUUUCACGGUGUAAUAUUGUCAGCAGUCUGGCUGGUUAUCUGUCCCACUCACACAAUCAUUUGUCGCACAAUUUGUGGAACAUGCAGCAAUUAUAAUCUGUGCUGCCUUUUGGUUUUAGACCCAUAGCCUCCAGAUGGCGCUGCUGCGCUGUAACAUGAUGAUCCAUUAGGUUGUCCUGCUGCUCUAAACUGGCAUUGCUGAGGAUAUUUGACAUCUAUGUUAUUAUUAUUUUUUUAAUGUUCCAAAUAUUUGACCAGUCAUGAUUUUUGCCGUAUCUAUCUAUCCUCGGCAUAUUGUGCAUAUUUUGGACUUUUAACAAGUUGCUGAGCUCAGGGCUCCUGCAGCUGUACGCUGUUAGGUAUCGGGGUUUUUGUUCCUUUUGUGGGGUUUUCUUUUCCUUUUUGUUCGUCUGUGGUUCCGUUAUUUAUCCACCAGAUAGCUCCAGAAGCUGCCUCCCUGGCAGGGCGUACCUGUGGUUCAGCGCACCUGUUGGUCAUCAUCUAAUCACCCUGGGGUUUAAGAGGAGCGCACUGACUGCACUUCUUCGCCUGAGUGUUUGCCAGUAAUGGUGUUCCUAGCGACGCUGUGUGAUCUCCUCGUAAAGAUCUCGUUCUGGCCCUCUGGAUAACCCAUCCUCAUGACGCCGUGGUGAAUACCCACUGGUUGCCCGAGUCCCACUUCCAUCUCCUCAGUUGGAUCUCAAGCCGACCCCGGACCUGCCAGUUAGCAGUAGGACCGCUCCUCUGCCUCCCUCUACGCCUGUACCUACCUGUCCAUCCUCCACCGCAGCCUCCACGUAGCUAUCCGGAACCACCUCCAUCGAGCCGUACUCUGGAAUCCAGAUCACUGUCCAGGACCUGCAAAUUAGGAGACUAACCCCGAGCCCACAGCCUACUCUCUCCCUGCAGUCAUUAUUCAACAUCACAAUGCGCCAGCGACUCUGUGAUCCUGCCCCCUGGAUAGACCCUCAUCCAUCUUAUUUUUCAAUAAACAUUAUACUACUGAUUCCUUUACUCCUGUGGUGUUCUGCAUGUGGGUUAAAAAACUAGAUCCAAACAUGACAUACGCACUGUGUACCUUAGAUUUUCCUUUAAGUAAAACAGAAAAGAAGAUUUUUUUACACUUUCUUUAAUUAUCUAACUCUCUUUACUAUUAACAUUUAGGAGAAAAACAAUCUAUUGUGUCAAAACAUCUUGUACGUAGCCAGUCUAUGUGAGUCCAUGGAGCUGCUCACAAAGCCUAAAUGUUAUUGGUCAGUUUACUUUUGUAAAUUUGGCAGCUUGGCGCUUUUUCUGUAAGCUAAAAAUGAACAAGAGGAGUUUGAAUCCUCCCGUCGUUGUAAGAUUGGUUGUUUAGAUCCUGCCAGAGCUUUUUACCGUGUGUGCAGUUCU